UGGAGAAAAAGGAAGCCUUGAGGAACCUGCGUGGCUCAGUAAAGAACACCUGCCUCAUGGUGCCACCAACUUGCUUGCCUCACUCAUGCUACCUCUGUGGUUCCUGACGUCCUUAUUUAAUACACCUCAGUACCUCAUCCUUCCCCGUUGCAGUCAAUCUAAUCAACCUGCCAGAUUUU